AAACUCUACAAUGCAGGCAACUGCGAUAGGGGAACAUCGAGUGCUCAUCAUAUUGGUGGGCUGUCCCACCGUCUAAAAAACGGUGGUUAGCAAGGGCCGGGCAAGACCGGUGCCAGCCGCCGCGGUAAUACCGGCGGCUCGAGUGGUGGCCGAUAUUAUUGAGUCUAAAGGGUCCGUAGCCGGCUUUGCAAGUCUUUUGGGAAAUCCAGCGGCUUAACCGUUGGGCGUCCGGGAGAUACUACAUUGCUUGGGACUGGGAGAGGUAAGAGGUACUCAGGGGGUAGGAGUGAAAUCCUGUAAUCCUUUGGGGACCACCGGUGGCGAAGGCGUCUUACCAGAACAGGUCCGACGGUGAGGGACGAAAGCUAGGGGCACGAACCGG
rnacentral:rRNA from 1 species